rnacentral:RNase_P_RNA from 1 species
CUGGAAGGGCGGGGGAUCGCCUCGGGUGCUCAUCCGGGGAGGAAAGUCCGAACUCCACAGGGAGCGAUGCCACGCAACCCCGGUCGGACCGGGGAUACGCGCGGGAGGCCAGGCUGCGAAGCCUGCCGACGGAAAGUGCCACAGAGAAUAUACCGCCGAACUCAACCUGCGAGGGUUGGGUGGUAAGGGUGAAAAGGUGGGGUAAGAGCCCACCGCGCCGAGCGUAAGCGGAGCGGCACGGAAAACCCCAUCGGGAGCAAGGCCAAAUAGGGGACCUUUCGGGUGUCCCGCCUGAGUCCCGCUUGUCGGGACGGGUCCCGGGUAUGGCUGCUCAGAGAAAUGGUCCUCUCCCCGGCCCGUACGCGGGUCGGGAAGACAGAAUUCGGCUUACAGCCCUUCCAGAACC